GCAAAACGCGAAGAACCUUACCCACCUUUGACAUGUACGGAAUCCUUUAGAGAUAGAGGAGUGCUCGAAAGAGAGCCGUAACACAGGUGCUGCAUGGCUGUCGUCAGCUCGUGUCGUGAGAUGUUGGGUUAAAGUCCCGCAACGAGCGCAACCCUUGCCAUUAGUUGCUACGAAAGGGCACUCUAAUGGGACUGCCGGUGACAAACCGGAGGAAGGUGGGGAUGACGUCAAGUCCUCAUGGCCCUUAUAGGUGGGGCUACACACGUCAUACAAUGGCUGGUACAAAGGGUUGCCAACCCGCGAGGGGGAGCUAAUCCCAUAAAGCCAGUCGUAGUCCGGAUCGCAGUCUGCAACUCGACUGCGUGAAGUCGGAAUCGCUAGUAAUCGUGGAUCAGAAUGUCACGGUGAAUACGUUCCCGGGUCUUGUACACACCG
rnacentral:rRNA from 1 species